rnacentral:lncRNA from 1 species
UGCGCAUCCGAUGCGUGAACAUAUCGUAAUGUUCUUGCGAGUAAUCUGCAUAAUUAUUCCCGGGUAACGUUCAAUCUUGUUUUUGUUUUCCGGGCGCGACGUCCACUUGACGUCUUUUGUGGAGCGGCUCAGUCGCUUUUUUGCUGCACACGUGAAGUGAUCCCUUAGUAUUUCCUGUGAAUGUAGGAGGUUCGGAUGCGGACCGCUGCAUGGAAUACGAAGAUGCGAAAGUUUAUUGAUCUCAUAGCACUGGAUGAGGGAGAACGGCAACAAUGAGGAGCUCAUACAUCCUUUGCUCAACGGUGAUUCUUCUGCUGCUUUGGAUGAAAACAGAAAUAGCAUUAGAGGCGAGCAAAAUCAAAACUGGGGUCGAGAUUUUGAUGAAGUUCUACAAACCAUGCGUGACUGGAUGGAAUAGCACCAAUUGUUUUCGGGAAAAAACUGUGCAUCAACCAGACCCCGUACACACGACCAACCGUACUUCACCUCAAACAGGUAACACGAUGCCAUCUGAGGACCCACCCCAACAAGACAACGUAACUUCUACCAAAAGGAGCCAGACUAAUUUUGCCGUGGGCGCAAAUUUAAACUUCACGCUCAUUGGUUUGGUUCGCAAGAUUGUACGAUAUAUUCUCAACGGUUGCGACCUCCGGCAAAACUACGAAUCCUCCAUGGCAAGAUCAAGCGAACCUGCCGAUGAUCAACGGAAAGACGAAAAAAAUUCUGCUAUCAAGGGCAAGAAAGUUCAGAAGAUGCUUCAGAAUACUCAGAGGACAAUAAUUACACCGAGGAAGAUAUGCAAUUCGAGCCAGAUCAAGGUCACGAAGGUAGUGAUAUGGGUUACGCGGGAGAGGAGGAGGAACUUGAACUGGAGGAACCGGAAGAGGAAACAGAGGAAGAAGACGAUGAUGACGAUCUUGGCGGUGGCGGUGGUGGAUACAUGCGCCCUAUCGCAAUGA